GAUGAACGCUGGCGGCGUGCCUAAUACAUGCAAGUCGAGCGAACGGACGAGAAGCUUGCUUCUCUGAUGUUAGCGGCGGACGGGUGAGUAACACGUGGAUAACCUACCUAUAAGACUGGGAUAACUUCGGGAAACCGGAGCUAAUACCGGAUAAUAUUUUGAACCGCAUGGUUCAAAAGUGAAAGACGGUCUUGCUGUCACUUAUAGAUGGAUCCGCGCUGCAUUAGCUAGUUGGUAAGGUAACGGCUUACCAAGGCAACGAUGCAUAGCCGACCUGAGAGGGUGAUAGGCCACCCUGGAACUGAGACACGGUCCAGACUCCUAAGGGAGGCAGCAGUAGGGAAUCUUCCGCAAUGGGCGAAAGCCUGACGGAGCAACGCCGCGUGAGUGAUGAAGGUCUUCGGAUCGUAAAACUCUGUUAUUAGGGAAGAACAUAUGUGUAAGUAACUGUGCACAUCUUGACGGUACCUAAUCAGAAAGCCACGGCUAACUACGUG
rnacentral:rRNA from 1 species